rnacentral:misc_RNA from 1 species
AAGUCGUAACAAGGUUUCCGUAGGUGAACCUGCGGAAGGAUCAUUAACACGUUUCGUUCCGAACGUUUUUGACCCAUUCUUAUUUUCCGUGCACCAUUUCGCGUCCGGCCUCCCAGCCGCCCUCCGGGUUUACUCGGUUGCGCCUGUUGGGCGUCUUUGGGAUCAAAAGAAAAAUGCACUUUUAACGAAGUCUCUUUUCUGCCUUCCCUCUGGCGUUGCCACCUCACCCAAACCCUUUAAUCUAACUGAUCUGAACUUUUAGUUGAAAUAAAGCUCUUUAUUGAGUUUUUUUCCAACGACUUACAACAAAUAACAACUCUUAACAACGGAUAUCUUGGUUCUC